rnacentral:rRNA from 1 species
AUGGAUCGAAGUUGGAUGAGUAAACCAAGAUCAACUACUGAUUAUAAAGAAGGUGUCGAGCUAAUGGUUGGUUAUCUGACAUAUUCGAAUUGUCAUACAAAGAUUACAAGUUGGUCUUCUUUAAAUGUGAUUGGGGAGAAGUUAGAGGAUGAACCUUUUGUAUUUUCUUCCCAAGUGGACCAGGUCUACUACAUCCAAAAUCCGAGAAGUGAGAAUUGGAAUACCAUGGUGAAAUUCAAACCUCGUGAUAUUUUUGACAUGGGUGGAGAACCAUCUUCAGAUGAAACAGAGAUAGUCUUUGUGUUUUUAGCUUGUUAUCUGUAG